rnacentral:tRNA from 1 species
GGUGGGGUGGCAGAGCGGCCAUGCGUUCGCCUGCAGAUCGCGUCAGCGGUUAGCGAAUUUAUAGGGGUUCGAAUCCCCUCCCCACCU